CAGUAGGGUGCCAUCAAGAGGUGUAUUUGGAAAUAUCCCUAAUACAGGAUCACUUGGAUCCGUCGGCGAUGACGAGCGCGAA
rnacentral:rRNA from 1 species